rnacentral:rRNA from 1 species
GAUGAACGCUGGCGGCGUGCCUAAUACAUGCAAGUCGAGCGAACAGACGAGGAGCUUGCUCCUCUGACGUUAGCGGCGGACGGGUGAGUAACACGUGGAUAACCUACCUAUAAGACUGGGAUAACCUCGGGAAACCGGAGCUAAUACCGGAUAAUAUAUUGAACCGCAUGGUUCAAUAGUGAAAGACGGUUUUGCUGUCACUUAUAGAUGGAUCCGCGCCGCAUUAGCUAGUCGGUAAGGUAACGGCUUACCAAGGCAACGAUGCGUAGCCGACCUGAGAGGGUGAUCGGCCACACUGGAACUGAGACACGGUCCAGACUCCUACGGGAGGCAGCAGUAGGGAAUCUUCCGCAAUGGGCGAAAGCCUGACGGAGCAACGCCGCGUGAGUGAUGAAGGUCUUCGGAUCGUAAAACUCUGUUAUUAGGGAAGAACAAAUGUGUAAGUAACUAUGCACGUCUUGACGGUACCUAAUCAGAAAGCCACGGCUAACUACGUG